rnacentral:lncRNA from 1 species
UGGAAGGUCAUGACAGGUUCACCGUUCUACAUAUAGCUACAGAGAAAGAUAUAAUUAUUUUGUAGUUCAUUAUCAAGUAUCAACCUAUCUCUUUGCUUUGUCUAAUCCGAGAUCAAGGACUUCCUUCUGACCGUGAGGAGGAAGGAUGCCCGAUCAGUGAAGGUCAAGAGGAUCAAGGAUGUUGUUAAAUUCAAGUUACCCAAAUGGUGCAUUGCCUGAUAUCAUAAUUGGACAUAAGUUUCAGAGAUAUCGUCUAAGUCUUCUGGUUGGUUUAAACUGUCACUGGCAUAAGGCCAUAACACCUCUGUUGUCUGAAUGUUUAUAUUUCAUUCACCUAUAUACUAUUUAUUGACUCAAUCAUUGUAGCAAAAAAAAUUAAUUGCAUUGGCAAAUAUGAUUUUCUU